CCUACGGGCGACAGCAGUGAGGAAUAUUGGUCAAUGGACGAGAGUCUGAACCAGCGAAGUAGCGUGAAGGAUGAAUGCCCUAUGGGUUGUAAACUUCUUUUAUAAAGGAAUAAAAUGAGGCACGUGUGCCUUUUUGCAUGUACUGUAUGAAUAAGGAUCGGCUAACUCCGUGCCAGCAGCCGCGGUAAUACGGAGGAUACGAGCGUUAUCCCGAUUUAUUGGGUUUAAAGGGAGCGUAGAUGGGUUGUUAAGUCAGUUGUGAAAGUUUGGGGCUUAACCGUAAAAUUGCAAUGGAUACUGGCAGUCUUGAGUACAGUUGAGGUAGGCGGAAUUCGUGGUGGAGCGGUGAAAUGCUUAGAUAUAACGAAGAACACCGAGUGCGAAGGCAGCUUACUAAACUGAUACUGACAUUGAUGCUCGAAAGUGUGGGUAUCAAACAGGAUUAGAUACCCUUGUAGUC
rnacentral:rRNA from 1 species